UCGUGCAACGGAGGUGCCCCGGGUUGUCGCUGGCCUUUCAAAAGGUCGUGCACGCCCGAGUGCCUUCACACAAUCCAUCUCACCCUUUGUGCAUCACUGCGUGGCGUUCUCCUGGAAGGGAGGGCCUGCGUUUUUUUUUUCUUUUCACACAAACCCCAAAAGCAGUGUAGAAUGUAUUUUUCUUUUUGCGGUGACACGCAAUCAAUA
rnacentral:misc_RNA from 1 species